GAUGAACGCUAGCUACAGGCUUAACACAUGCAAGUCGAGGGACCGGCGCACGGGUGAGUAACACGUAUCCAACCUGCCCUUUACUCGGGGAUAGCCUUUCGCAAGCAAGAUUAAUACCCGAUAUCAUGGAUGGGGAUGCGUUCCAUUAGGUUGUUGGUGAGGUAACGGCUAACCCAGCCUUCGAUGGAUAGGGGUUCGGAGAGGAAGGUCCCCCGCAACUGAACUGAGACACAGACCAAACUCGUACGGGAGGCAGCAGUGAGGAGUAUUGUGCAAUGGGCGCUAGCCUGAACCGGCCAAGUGUCGUGAAGGAUGAAGACUUAUGAGACGUAAACUUCUUUUAAAGAAGAAUAGUUAUUAUAUGAAUAAGGACCGGCUAACUCCGUGCCAGCAGCCGCGGUAAUUC
rnacentral:rRNA from 1 species